rnacentral:rRNA from 1 species
ACUAAAACUUUCAACAACGGAUCUCUUGGUUCUGGCAUCGAUGAAGAACGCAGCGAAAUGCGAUAAGUAAUGUGAAUUGCAGAAUUCAGUGAAUCAUCGAAUCUUUGAACGCACAUUGCGCCCCUUGGUAUUCCGAGGGGCAUGCCUGUUCGAGCGUCAUUUCAACCCUCAAGCUCUGCUUGGUAUUGGG